rnacentral:misc_RNA from 1 species
AAGUCGUAACAAGGUUUCCGUAGGUGAACCUGCGGAAGGAUCAUUACCGAACUGUCGACACGAGCUGUUGCUGGCCCUCGAAAGGGGGCACGUGCACGCUCUGUUUACACAUCCACUCACACCUGUGCACCCUCUGUAGUUCUAUGGCCUUGGGGACCCUGUCCCCUUGCUGUGGUCCUACGUCUUUACACACACACCGUAACAAAGUCUCAUGGAAUGUAUGUCGCGUUUAACGCAAUACAAUACAACUUUCAGCAACGGAUCUCUUGGCUCUCGCAUCGAUGAAGAACGCAGCGAAAUGCGAUAAGUAAUGUGAAUUGCAGAAUUCAGUGAAUCAUCGAAUCUUUGAACGCACCUUGCGCCCUUUGGCUAUUCUGAAGGGCAUGCCUGUUUGAGUAUCAUGAAUACCUCAACUCUCAUGGUCCGCCAUGAUGAGCUUGGACUUUGGGGGUCUUGCUGGCCUAGUGUCAGCUCCUCUCAAAUGGAUCAGCUUCCCAGUGUUUGGUGGCGUCACGGGUGUGAUAACUAUCUACGCUUGUGGUUUCCUACCAUUAACCUUCAGCAAUGGAGGUUCGCUGGAGCUCACAGAUGUCUCUCCUUGGGGAGGACAGCUUCUUGACGUCUGAUCUCAAAUCAGGUAGGACUACCCGCUGAACUUAAGCAUAUCAAUAAGCGGAGGAAAAGAAACUAACAAGGAUUCCCCUAGUAACUGCGAGUGAAGCGGGAAGAGCUCAAAUUUAAAAUCUGGCAGUCUCUGGCUGUCCGAGUUGUAAACUAGAGAA